rfam:Asian citrus Psyllid, Diaphorina citri - Florida Strain, whole genome shotgun sequence.
GCCAGCGGUAGUAGCCCGUUGAAAGCAUCAGUUCCCAAUGGAUCACUGAAGUUAAUAAACAUUGCGCGUGGUUAGUGUCCGGAUGGGUAACCAAAACGCCCGUCAUUAAAGGCC